AUCCUACGAAGAGAAGUAGAGCAAUCAAGGUUUUUGGAGAACAGAGAUCAUCAAGCGCGGAAGCAAUUGAAGAUCGAAGCUAUCCAAUCUCUUGUAAUGUUUAACCUUAAAUUUGUACUUUCUUUGAAUAUUAUGACGAGCUAAACCCCCCAAUGCUAUGGGGGUGUCCCUGAAUUGCAGUUGUAAUGAACCUUCUUCCUACAACUUUAUGAAAAUUUAUGUUUUUAUGAA
rnacentral:lncRNA from 1 species